GUUUCUCUAAAUGAGCAUGUAUUCCCACAACAUCAUUCAAAGAAGAUAAAGAAUAAGCACUAUUGCAUAAUUUGAAAGAGAUGUGGUCGACGAUCUGCUGAAUAUUCUCAGAUUCAAUCCCAUCACGGAUAUCGUAUCCUUUUAGAUCUGCGGCAGCAGUUAGGGCAUUCCUCCAUCGUUUCACCUUCUGCAUUCCUUCAGCAUCAUCCUUAUACAUCGAUUCAUGUUUGGCAAAGGC
rnacentral:misc_RNA from 1 species